GCGGGAGAUGAAAUGUUUAGCACUUGAGCGUGAGGCCACAUCCCGAGCCCCACCCCAUCCCACAGAACCACUCCCCCACGACCUACCCCCAUCCCAGCGCCUCCACUUUCCUCCACCUCCGCCGCCGGCCGAGAUCCCGGCCACUCCGGCGACGCCCUGCAGCGCUGACUCUCGUCCCUGAAUCCCCUCCUCCCCCUCUCUCUAUUCCACCCCAUGAAACCUCCAAAUUGUCUGCCCCAAAGCAAACCCUAGCCCGGGAUCCAGGAGGUGCUGCAGGAGGUCCGUGGCGACGGCGGCGCCCCGGCAGCGGGCGGUGGUGACUCGGAUCGGCGACCGGGUACACCGCGCAUGGCAGAUGCGGCCGGCCAGCGAGUCCCGGUCGUGACCGACGCCAGCGACCCGAGGGACUGCAUUACGCCGGCAACCGCCUCCGGGCGCCAAGGACUACUGCGGCAUCAGCCACCCCUCCUCCUUGUCGUUCCCCAUCCAGGCCAGCCUCCACCGCACCUCCUGAACCAGCCCCCGCAGUAGAUUGAUGCCGUCGCCCUCUCCCUGAACCACUAGGUCGACCCACCGAUGGUUGCCUUCCCCGGCGUCCUUGGCCGGCCGAGGCACGGCGAGCUGUUGCUCCUGCUGCCAGCGACGUCCACGACCACGGCCUUCUGCUGCAAUCCACCUCACCAACCUCCUGCUGCCGAGCUGAAUGCGACAUGAUGCUUACCUGUCUGCUGGAGUGCAUCAACCCUGGCCACGACACUGUGUUCGCAGUCUUGAGUUCACUGCAGCGGUGCUUUCUCCCGAGAAGAACGGGCUCCACCUCAACCUCGUACAUAAUGGCCAGAUGAUUCUUUUCCUCAUUAUACUACGUGUGUUUCAUUGUAAGGGUGGAUUUUGGCACGGAUGAGUACCUGCAAUGGCCAGCGUCAACGACAAUGCGGACCAGAUCUUCAACUGCAGCCCCAUCGGCUGCAUCUUCAUGUUGUCAGGGUGGUAACCACAUCAUCAAGAGGAUUCGUGUCAGUGUGGAGCAUGUGCAGCCAUCCAUGGCCAGGAGUUCCAGCUGACUCGACCCUGUUGCUGCUAUCUCCUUCAUCCAUGAGGAGUUCUAUGGCAAAAAAAUCAAAGAAUUUUGUUACUUCUGGAGGUGUUGGCCUAGUUCUGGGAACUAGUUCUAUGUUGGAAUUGUUUCGGGAGCUAGUGAUCGUAUAUUCUGGGGAACUGUGAAUCUGUUAUUUGAUAUGUGCUUAGACAAUUUGUUGUUAUUUGAUAAGUACUGAGACAAUUUACGGUUAUUUUGAUAAAUGCUGAGAAAAUUUAUCGUUAUUUGAUGUGUGCUGUGACAAUUACUAUUAUUUGAUAUGUGA